rnacentral:lncRNA from 1 species
AAAUUUAGCGCUGUGACACGCUAAGCGUAAUUUGUAUGGCACAUGUAAUGCCUUUACACGUAGUAAAGUGCAAUGGGCGGCAAACCCAGCUUCGUCAGAGGCCCGUUCGACUUGACUGCAUGCUUGUCACCUGCUGGAGUAGUUAAGUUAUGAAGAGAAUUGUUCUUACUCCAUACGUACAUACAUAUGUGCCUACGAAUUACUACAUUUUUACUCACGACUAACUAACUAACCGCCUACUCGGUGUGAGUACAACGGUGACCUUUUUGGGAGUCGCGUUGUGCCUGUGCCAGACUUCCUUGAAGUAAAAGCCAGUACGGAGAAUAUCAAGAGACGACCAAAGACCACAAAGAAACAGGCGUCGUUCUUACAGUCAUCAACUAUGUACAUUUACUACAUCAUGUCUCCUCGACUUCUGAAAGAAUUCGUCGAUGCAACCUCUUGCCCUGAGAAUUUGGGAAGCCCGGCAAAGCUGCCAUGGCUCCUGAUUGGUUGAUCGCGGGACUUGACGGCAGCUGACAGCGCCGGUCAGGGCAGUCUAUAUUGAAUUCUUCUAGAGUAACCAAGUUACUACGGGAAGAUUUUAACAUACUUUGUUCGAUGUAAGUUUAAGCGACCGUGAAGAUUUUGAGUCUUGAGCAAAUCUGAGUAAUGACUUGAUCUGACCUCCCAUUGGCUCCCCAAAAUUACUCCCUCCCACCAAUCACACCAGUACCUUGCCUGAGAUUCUGACAUGAAACACACCGUCCUUACCAAGAAAAGUCGGUCAUACAACGCGGGUUGAAGUAAUUACUCCGUACGAGUUAAAGAUCCUGAAACAAGAAGCUUCCGAAAAUCAAUCAAGAGAGAAGAGCAAACGGCUUGCAGGCAACAGUAGAGGAUUCUCUCGCACAGACAAUAAAUGCAAUCCCUGCCUGUUUGGAUGGAUCGAUCCAAUAGUUGGUGCAAGCCCUCGCAGGGAACUAUUACUUGAAUAUUGGAUCUGAAACAAAUAACUACGUUUGUUGUACGAUAUACGGAGGAAUUCAUAUGAUAUGGUACUAUUACUCUACCUGUCACGUAGAAGGCUAUGCGUGAAAUUAUCGCUGUGGCAGGGGUAGUUAGAUAAUUAGUUUGACGUUGUUGACGCGAGCCCCUUCAUAAGAUUCUUCAAUCUAUUUAAGGCCUCAUCGUGUUGAGUAGUUAACUAGUACAGAGUAUAGUUAACUAACUAAC